UUUGUUUUUAGAUGGGGUCAGUGACCCCCAUUUGAAAGCUGGAAAGAAUUAGAAAAAGAAGGGAAAUGAUUCAACUAAAAAAUGAAGAUUAAUUGAAAAGUUUCUUAGAAUUGUCCAUUAUAUAACAUACUAAAAGUUAACUUGAAGGUGAACCACCCCUUUAACAUGUAUACAACACUUUAAAAUUUGGCGGCAUUGUGACAAAUCCAUAAGACUAUAAGAUACCUUCUGUGAAUUUGCAAAUUUUAAGAACUGUGUACUUAUUGACGCUUUUCUGCAUCCCUCCAGUGACUCAAGCUGCUAACCGAGACCUGCACUCUUUUGAGCCCAGAAUUACUUACAAUUUUACUUGCUGAGAAGGAAGACAAAUGUACUGUGCCCCAAACUACUGAAGGAUCGCUCUGCCCAUAAGCUCAAUAUGUGUGGCUGAUUUCUGAUGAUGUCCUACCUAUGUCCAUCCCCAGCAGGUGAAGAUGACAAGAGAGCAAGGAAAGUUGAGCAGUAACAUAAAAGGCAUUUAGCGAAAGGACAACUACACAAAAGGUUUUAGAUAAAUUAAAGGUUCUUAUUUUCCAUAACACAAGUAAACUAUGAGUUCAAAUCAAAUGUCUGACAGCCCAUGCUCUAAAACAAAAUCUCCACUGUGUUUGCGAUCGCAAAGGGUGCAGCAUAUUUCGGAGACAAGCUGGAGUUACAAGGAUUUCCAUUAUUCCGAAUCAGAAUUUCUGGGUGACGCUGAAGUAUACAGUAAGUUUUCAGAACUUAACACACUCUGAUUAUCUGACUUCAUGGUAAACUGGGUACUCAUAUGAAUUAAACAGAAAUAAGCACCACUUACUGCUUGUAGAGAACAAUAAAGCAGAUAUUUGCACUUCCAACAGUUUCUAGGCAAAGGGAAAUCUAUGUGCAUUUGGAAAGCAAUGGCAGACGGGAUGGAAUUCAAUAAAUGCUGAAAAAAUUAGCAAAAGGAUGGAACAAGGCUGAUCAUAAAGUAAGAAAUGUUAUUUUACUCAUGGCAACCAAAUGCAUCAUUCUUGUGUGAGAGCAUUCCCAAUAAGCCUGGCUAGAAAGCAAAUGCUAUUCAUUCUGACACAUAAAGGGAUAUCUAACAGAAUAAAACCAAUCAGUGCAAUGCUUUAGAAUGCAGUUUCCCUACUGCAACUAUAUGUAUAUACCUUUUUCUUUAUAUAUGCUGCAGGGCUUUAUAAGGCUCGUAGGGUAUCUCGUACAUAGCAUGAUGCUUCCAUUUUGACACCAAGUUACUGAAAACGGGGGGGGGGGGAAAUAUUCUGAAGACUUUCCCCAUUCCUCCAUAUACUUUAGAUAACUACAAACCAUGGUUUACCAACUCAGUUCUAAAGUGAUAUCCAGAAUGGCAACCAACCAAUAUCUUCCCCUCCUAAAAUGAUAGACGAAUCAUUAUUUAUGAGGCGCGAUCUGUGUUGUCCAAGAAAAUUAAAAA